ensembl:lncRNA
UGUCCUCAAAAGACACUGUACUCCUGUUUGGUUAUGAGAAAUAGUACGUAUGAUGGAAGUAAAAAUCUGCACUGAGAGGAUGAGAACUCCUAUCUAUGUCUUUAAUAGAGAACAGUGAUAGCUAAUGAAGAUUUCAGAGCAAUGUAAGUUUUAAUUGGGUGGAGAUGUUGAAUUCAACAGGACUACCUAUGGGCUGAGUAGUGUUUAGUAUUGUUUGAUUUCAGCUAACACUGCUGUGUUAAAAAUUGAUCUUGAGUGUGAGAAAAUAUUUAAAUGAUUCCUUGUAUAGACAAAAAUACAGGGACAAGUCAUGAAUUUACAAAGUUAUACAGAGAGUUUCAUAUGCCAAAUGAAGCCCAUGUCAAGCUUCACAAAAAGGAGGGCACCUUUCUAUGUAGGAAGCAAGAUCACAUUGUAAAUCCAGCUGAUUCUGAUUACCCAUGUCCUACAAAGAAGUUAAAAGUGCUACGCAAUCAUCUGCUCCACCUGAAAUUUGCCUCUAUAUCUUCACAGUGCCAGGUCAGCUGUGUGGGGGAGUAAUGUUAGCAGUCUCUAUUUCUAAAAAGUACUUGUGGAGCCAGUUUUGUAAGCUACAAGUUUUUGGCUAUGAGAACGAAGGAACUUACGCAUUCUACAGCCAUUCACUAACCUACCUUUUGAAUCCUGCUUGUCUUACAGCUUACAAAACUAUUUGUCAGUAUUUCCACUGACUCAAUGGGGCUACUUGUUGUUAUGAAGACUGUUUUUUCAGUUAUGUUAACACUUAUUUUAAGAUACUAAUCAAUCGUCAUAAAAGAUCUUGAAUAGCAAGAGAGUUUUUGGUUUUGCUCACAUGGAUGAAAACCUAUGACUUCUGGGACAAAGCUGAAUCAAGUUUGGCUAAAGGCAGGCUCUCUGUCCGGGCUGUCCCUUCGCUACGUGAAAAUCUGCUCAGAGUUGCCACUGUAGAGAAGAGAGUGACAGUCAAUGGAUGGGGACUUCGACAUGAUUACAUCCACUCUACUGCCCGGCCAUACAUUGACAGACAAAACUACUGUAAUGGACUGAUCAUUUGGAAAAUGGCUACUGCCCACAUUUAAAUUCCUUUCAGUGUUAUUCCAUAGCCAAUUAGAGUGGUAGCCCAGCCUAUAUUCAUGCCAGUCUUGUACUAUAUUGUAAGAAAAAGGAAAGGAGCAGCUCAGAAGUCUUUAAUUAUUCCUCCAGCCAUUUAUUGACCUGCUCUCUAAAGGCCAUACAUGGGCCGUCAUCUGCAUGCAAAAUUUCUAUUGACAUCACUGGGAGGGCCACAGGCAGAUGGAAGGUACUUUGUAAACCUUACAGUUUAAAUAUGUUGUAAGAGAAAGGUACAGAAUUUGAGGUUAUUAAAAAAAAAAAAAAAGCAGCUUUAUCUAAUAUUGCUCUUUAAACAUGGAAUUUGAAUAAUGUUUUUUCCUAGCAAGCAACAUCCCCCCCCCCUUCUCUUCAAGCUACCUAACCUACACGUUUCUGUAAAGUCUUCAUAUUUAACACUCAAACAAUUGAUGUCCCUAUAGUAUAAACAGGAUAGAUAAUGAAUAUAAGUGGGAUAGAAAAUUAAUCCUACUUGCGAGGAAAGAGAGUCAUAAUUCACUUAGGCUUCUCAGCUCUUACGUUAUGAGGUCUUCAGCUAACUCAUGGGAUCCAUUCCACAUCCCACAGAUGCUCAUUAUGAAUUCUUUUUAUGUGCAACAU